rnacentral:rRNA from 1 species
GGGUUGUGAGGUUAAGCGACUAAGCGUACACGGUGGAUGCCCUGGCAGUCAGAGGCGAUGAAGGACGUGCUAAUCUGCGAUAAGCGUCGGUAAGGUGAUAUGAACCGUUAUAACCGGCGAUUUCCGAAUGGGGAAACCCAGUGUGAUUCGUCACACUAUCAUUAACUGAAUCCAUAGGUUAAUGAGGCGAACCGGGGGAACUGAAACAUCUAAGUACCCCGAGGAAAAGAAAUCAACCGAGAUUCCCCCAGUAGCGGCGAGCGAACGGGGAGGAGCCCAGAGCCUGAAUCAGUGUGUGUGUUAGUGGAAGCGUCUGGAAAGGCGCGCGAUACAGGGUGACAGCCCCGUACACAAAAAUGCACAUGCUGUGAGCUCGAUGAGUAGGGCGGGACACGUGGUAUCCUGUCUGAAUAUGGGGGGACCAUCCUCCAAGGCUAAAUACUCCUGACUGACCGAUAGUGAACCAGUACCGUGAGGGAAAGGCGAAAAGAACCCCGGCGAGGGGAGUGAAAAAGAACCUGAAACCGUGUACGUACAAGCAGUGGGAGCACGCUUAGGCGUGUGACUGCGUACCUUUUGUAUAAUGGGUCAGCGACUUAUAUUCUGUAGCAAGGUUAACCGAAUAGGGGAGCCGAAGGGAAACCGAGUCUUAACUGGGCGUUAAGUUGCAGGGUAUAGACCCGAAACCCGGUGAUCUAGCCAUGGGCAGGUUGAAGGUUGGGUAACACUAACUGGAGGACCGAACCGACUAAUGUUGAAAAAUUAGCGGAUGACUUGUGGCUGGGGGUGAAAGGCCAAUCAAACCGGGAGAUAGCUGGUUCUCCCCGAAAGCUAUUUAGGUAGCGCCUCGUGAAUUCAUCUCCGGGGGUAGAGCACUGUUUCGGCAAGGGGGUCAUCCCGACUUACCAACCCGAUGCAAACUGCGAAUACCGGAGAAUGUUAUCACGGGAGACACACGGCGGGUGCUAACGUCCGUCGUGAAGAGGGAAACAACCCAGACCGCCAGCUAAGGUCCCAAAGUCAUGGUUAAGUGGGAAACGAUGUGGGAAGGCCCAGACAGCCAGGAUGUUGGCUUAGAAGCAGCCAUCAUUUAAAGAAAGCGUAAUAGCUCACUGGUCGAGUCGGCCUGCGCGGAAGAUGUAACGGGGCUAAACCAUGCACCGAAGCUGCGGCAGCGACGCUUAUGCGUUGUUGGGUAGGGGAGCGUUCUGUAAGCCUGCGAAGGUGUGCUGUGAGGCAUGCUGGAGGUAUCAGAAGUGCGAAUGCUGACAUAAGUAACGAUAAAGCGGGUGAAAAGCCCGCUCGCCGGAAGACCAAGGGUUCCUGUCCAACGUUAAUCGGGGCAGGGUGAGUCGACCCCUAAGGCGAGGCCGAAAGGCGUAGUCGAUGGGAAACAGGUUAAUAUUCCUGUACUUGGUGUUACUGCGAAGGGGGGACGGAGAAGGCUAUGUUGGCCGGGCGACGGUUGUCCCGGUUUAAGCGUGUAGGCUGGUUUUCCAGGCAAAUCCGGAAAACUAAGGCUGAGGCGUGAUGACGAGGCACUACGGUGCUGAAGCAACAAAUGCCCUGCUUCCAGGAAAAGCCUCUAAGCAUCAGGUAACAUCAAAUCGUACCCCAAACCGACACAGGUGGUCAGGUAGAGAAUACCAAGGCGCUUGAGAGAACUCGGGUGAAGGAACUAGGCAAAAUGGUGCCGUAACUUCGGGAGAAGGCACGCUGAUAUGUAGGUGAAGCGACUUGCUCGUGGAGCUGAAAUCAGUCGAAGAUACCAGCUGGCUGCAACUGUUUAUUAAAAACACAGCACUGUGCAAACACGAAAGUGGACGUAUACGGUGUGACGCCUGCCCGGUGCCGGAAGGUUAAUUGAUGGGGUCAGCGCAAGCGAAGCUCUUGAUCGAAGCCCCGGUAAACGGCGGCCGUAACUAUAACGGUCCUAAGGUAGCGAAAUUCCUUGUCGGGUAAGUUCCGACCUGCACGAAUGGCGUAAUGAUGGCCAGGCUGUCUCCACCCGAGACUCAGUGAAAUUGAACUCGCUGUGAAGAUGCAGUGUACCCGCGGCAAGACGGAAAGACCCCGUGAACCUUUACUAUAGCUUGACACUGAACAUUGAGCCUUGAUGUGUAGGAUAGGUGGGAGGCUUUGAAGUGUGGACGCCAGUCUGCAUGGAGCCGACCUUGAAAUACCACCCUUUAAUGUUUGAUGUUCUAACGUUGACCCGU